rnacentral:rRNA from 1 species
CAACGAGGUGGAGCCUGCGGUUUAAUCGGACUCAACGCCGGGAAACUCACCAGAUAAGACAGCUGAAUGAUAGUCGGGCUGAAGACUCUACUUGACUAGCUGAGAGGAGGUGCAUGGCCGUCGUCAGUUCGUACUGUGAAGCAUCCUGCUAAGUCAGGCAACGAGCGAGACCCACGCCAACAGUUGCCAGCUCGUCCUCCGGGAUGGUGGGGACACUGUUGGGACCGCCUCUGCUAAAGAGGAGGAAGGAAUGGGCAACGGUAGGUCAGCAUGCCCCGAAUUAUCUGGGCUACACGCGGGCUACAAUGGGUGGGACAAUGGGUAUCGACACCGAAAGGUGAAGGCAAUCUCCUAAACCCAUCCGUAGUUCGGAUUGUGGGCUGCAACUCGCCCACAUGAAGCUGGAAUCGCUAGUAAUCGCGGAUCAGAACGCCGCGGUGAAUACGUUCCCGGGCCUU